rnacentral:rRNA from 1 species
AACGAACGCUGGCGGCAGGCUUAACACAUGCAAGUCGAACGCCCCGCAAGGGGAGUGGCAGACGGGUGAGUAACGCGUGGGAACAUACCCUUUCCUGCGGAAUAGCUCUGGGAAACUGGAAUUAAUACCGCAUACGCCCUACGGGGGAAAGAUUUAUCGGGGAAGGAUUGGCCCGCGUUGGAUUAGCUAGUUGGUGGGGUAAAGGCCUACCAAGGCGACGAUCCAUAGCUGGUCUGAGAGGAUGAUCAGCCACAUUGGGACUGAGACACGGCCCAAACUCCUACGGGAGGCAGCAGUGGGGAAUAUUGGACAAUGGGCGCAAGCCUGAUCCAGCCAUGCCGCGUGAGUGAUGAAGGCCUUAGGGUCGUAAAGCUCUUUCACCGAUGAAGAUAAUGACGGUAGUCGGAGAAGAAGCCCCGGCUAACUUCGUGCCAGCCGCCGCCGCAAAAC